UUGCUGUGUGGGAGUUGAGGAAAAUAGCCAAAAUUCAGGCCUAAUGCGGCAGAUUGAGCAGAAGGGAUGCCCUGGCUAGCUGCAUUUUGAACCUCCAAGGCUUCGGACGCCUUUGCUCUCUGCAAAGGCAAAAACUUUCUCGAGCACACCUGCAGUGUGUCGAUGCCAUCUGCAUCGGUGUUGAAGUCGUAAAACGUGCUUGCUGCCGUAAGCUUCAUAGAGAGAAACUGAAUUUGCGGAAGAGAGAAGAAAUUAUAUCAGGUUUUGAUCUGAAUCAUUGUAUUUUUAUUUUCUGUUGUGGUAAGUGUUGAUCACUGACCUCUACUUGAUUCUGCAAGGACUGGACAUAAUUGAUGAUCUGAUCCAACAUUACUGCCAUUCCCAUGGACUGUUCGUUUUCGGUAGGAAUGUUAGAAUGAUUACAUCAAGAAUCAGAACAAUACUUUGGAAAGAACUAUAUAGUUGGAGUAGAAUAUUAAUUAAUCACCUUGUAGCAUCCUGGAACGAUGUCUUGCAAACAUCGUAAUCGCUCGUUGAUUUUUCCUCUUCUGACCUGAUUCAGGUAAGAAAGCAGAUCAUUGUAAUUUUCUGUUUUAGGAGAGUAGCCUCAGCUGAAAACAGUAGUAAAUUUGAACUUACUCUCUCUGCUAAACUAUGACUAUCAGUGGCCUGGCCUCUUUUGGCCCUGACAUGAAUCACUUCUCUUGGCAUAUCAUCUUUCUCUUCAUUGGAUUUCACUUUCUUUCCUCUUCCUGCAGCCUACGAGCAGAAGAAUUGUCUGAAAAAUCCGAGAACUGCUUUCAGGCGUGCUGAUAUCCGUUGAUUUCCUUUUCCUGUCUUGAUGAUUGUUGUCAUUGGAGAUGGUGGGCACAGGGACAGGAGGAAUUACAGUGUUGUCAUCAAGGAAGAAUAAUCCAUGGAAAUUUUCCA